UGCAAACGUUUUGUUUGAAUACUCAAUAACGUAUAGUUAAUUUACAGUACAGUAUAAUAAGGUUUAAAGUAUAAUUCACUUGAAGAACAACACCGGCGUAAUUAUACAGAACAGUCAUUUUGCCUGUUAACAUAACAGAAAUAUGCUUUACAUAUCAUUUUGUUCUAGGGAGCAGGGAGCAUACAGAGGAGUUGAUAAAACUCCGUGGGCAAAAUGACCAUCUCUUUACCGGGGCCAAAACACUGCCGCAGUCGGAUGGAGAACAAUCCUGCAAAAAAUGGGCCUGGAGGGUAAAGUUGAGCCACAACAGGCCAAAAAAAAAGUGGGACAACUUGCAAAAAAAAAUACAAAGAAUGCAAAGAUCCAGGGACAGGACAGGAGGUCAGUGGGAAGCCUACUGCUGCCACCUGGCCAUGGUUUGUCCUCAUGGAUGAGGUAUUAGGACAGAGGCCCUCUAUUGCCCCACCUGUCCUAAUUGCCUCCAUCCCUGAGAGCCAGGUGCUGCAUAGGCUGAGCAGCAUCAGGGGGAAGAUGAGGAAGAGAAUGAGGAUGAGAGGCCAGGAGAGAGGAAGGAAAGAAGGAAGAGAAGUAGGAGUGACGAGUUGGUGGAUUUAAUCAGGGAGGAUAUCAGAUGGCAGAGGGAGGCGGAGGAGAGAAGAGAAAGAGAGAGUCGGGAAAGGAUGGACAGAUUAUUUGAUUUAUUGGAGAGGAUGGUGGACAGACGUACAUUUUUGUUGGUGUUUUUUUUUUACAAGUUCAGG